rnacentral:lncRNA from 1 species
CGGCUGAAAAAUGUCCCAUGUGCCCCAGAAAGAGGGGAUGUGGCUUUCCUGGGGGUGAGUACCUGCCCCCCACAAAGACCAGAGUGGGGAGUUAAAUCAGGUCGGGUCCUGGGUUCAAAAGAUGGGGAGUUGCUGAUUGGUUUUGAAGGCGCAAGGAGAUUGGGUGGGAAAAUGAAGGUCUCAAAGGGAGAAAUUGAAUUUAAAUAAUCCUCAUAGGUCAGUGCAGGGUCCCCCACUGUGGCUGCUCGAAAGAGGGGCGGACUUCAACUCCCAGAAUUCCCCAGCCAGCUUGCUUGCUUCUUUUUCUUUUCUUUCUUUCUUAUCUUCCUUUUCUUUUUAUCUUUCUUUUUCUUAUUUUUUUUCUUUGUAAUCUUUCGUUUCCUUCCUUCCCUUUUCCUUUCCUUCUUUUCUUUUCCUUUCUUUCUUUUCUUCCUUUUUUAAUCUUUCUUUUUCUUUUUUCAUUUCCUUCCCCCUUUCCUUCUUUCCUUCCAUCUUUCCUUUCUUUCUUUUUUCUUUCUUUCUUUCUUUCUUUCUUUCUUUUAUUUCAUUCCUUUCUUCCGUCUUUCUUCUUUAUCUUUCUUUUCUUUUUCUUUCACUUCUUUCUGUCUUUCUUAUCUUUCUUUUUUCUUUCUCUUUCUUAUAGUUCCUUGCUUCCUCCUCUUGUUCUCCUUUCUUCCUCCCUCACUCCCUCCUGCCCUUUCUUUCAGCUCUUUCUUUCUUAUAUUUUAUUUCUUCUUUCUUUUUUCUUUUUCUUUUUCUUUUUCUUUCUCUUUUAUUUCAUUUCUUUCUUUCUGUCUUUCUUAUCUUUCUUUUUUCUUUCUUUCUUAUAUUUCCUUCUUUCCUCUUGCUCUCCUUCCUUUCUUUCCCUCUUUCUUUUUCUUUCUCUCUCUUUCCUUCCUUCCUUCCUUCCUUUCUUAUAUUUUAUUUCAUUUCUUUCUUUUUUCUUUCUUUCUGUCUUUCUUAUCUUUCUUUCUCUUAUUUUUCCUUCUUUCCUCUUGCUCUCCUUCCUUCCUUUCCCUCUUUCCCUCUUCCUUCCUUCCUUUCUUUCUUUUCCUUUCUUUCUCUCUCUUUCUUUCUCUCUCUUUUUCUUUCUUUCUUUCCUUCCUUCCUUCCCUCCCUCCCUCCCUUUCCUCUCCACUUUGUCUUUCUCAUCU